GAAGGUCCAGUUGGUAAGCCAUGAGAUUCUUAAUCUCAGGAUCAUGGGUUUGAGCCCCACCUUGGUCA